AGACCCGAAACCCGGUGAUCUAGCCAUGGGCAGGUUGAAGGUUGGGUAACACUAACUGGAGGACCGAACCGACUAAUGUUGAAAAAUUAGCGGAUGACCUGUGGCUGGGGGUGAAAGGCCAAUCAAACCGGGAGAUAGCUGGUUCUCCCCGAAAGCUAUUUAGGUAGCGCCUCGUGAAUUCAUCUCCGGGGGUAGAGCACUGUUUCGGCUAGGGGGCCAUCCCGGCUUACCAACCCGAUGCAAACUGCGAAUACCGGAGAAUGUUAUCACGGGAGACACACGGCGGGUGCUAACGUCCGUCGUGAAGAGGGAAACAACCCAGACCGCCAGCUAAGGUCCCAAAGUCAUGGUUAAGUGGGAAACGAUGUGGGAAGGCCCAGACAGCCAGGAUGUUGGCUUAGAAGCAGCCAUCAUUUAAAGAAAGCGUAAUAGCUCACUGGUCGAGUCGGCCUGCGCGGAAGAUGUAACGGGGCUAAACCAUGCACCGAAGCUGCGGCAGCGACACUGUGUGUUGUUGGGUAGGGGAGCGUUCUGUAAGCCUGUGAAGGUGUGUCGUGAGGCAUGCUGGAGGUAUCAGA
rnacentral:rRNA from 2 species